rnacentral:rRNA from 1 species
GACGAACGCUGGCGGCGUGCCUAAUACAUGCAAGUCGAGCGGACGGAUGGGAGCUUGCUCCCAGACCGUCAGCGGCGGACGGGUGAGUAACACGUGGGCAACCUGCCUGUAAGACUGGGAUAACUCCGGGAAACCGGGGCUAAUACCGGAUAACUCUUUCCCUCACAUGAGGGAAAGCUGAAAGAUGGCAUCUCGCUAUCACUUACAGAUGGGCCCGCGGCGCAUUAGCUAGUUGGUGAGGUAACGGCUCACCAAGGCGACGAUGCGUAGCCGACCUGAGAGGGUGAUCGGCCACACUGGGACUGAGACACGGCCAAGACUCCUACGGGAGGCAGCAGUAGGGAAUCUUCCGCAAUGGACGAAAGUCUGACGGAGCAACGCCGCGUGAGUGAUGAAGGUUUUCGGAUCGUAAAACUCUGUUGUCAGGGAAGAACAAGUACCGGAGUAACUGCCGGUACCUUGACGGUAACUGACCAGAAAGCCACGGCUAACUACGUG